UCGAGAAGCUUCGGCAAUGGGCGAAAGCCUGACCGAGCGACGCCGCGUGAGCGAUGAAGGCCCUAUGGGUUGUAAAGCUCUGUCAGAUUGGGAAGAAAACUUCGGGAUCAAUACCCCCGAAGCUUGACGGUACCAUCAGAGGAAGCACCGGCUAACUCCGUGCCAGCAGCCGCGGUAAUACGGAGGGUGCAAGCGUUGUUCGGAUUCACUGGGUAUAAAGGGUGCGUAGGCGGCGCGAUAAGUCAGGGGUGAAAUAUGUCGGCUCAACCGACAAACUGCCUCUGAAACUGCCGCGCUUGAGGUCGGGAGAGGAAGGUGGAAUUCCAGGUGUAGCGGUGAAAUGCGUAAAUAUCUGGAGGAACACCAAUGGCGAAGGCAGCCUUCUGGCCCGAUUCUGACGCUGAGGCACGAAAGCUAGGGGAGCAAACGGG
rnacentral:rRNA from 1 species